UUAUAAAGACAAUGUGUUUCCUGAAGCGGUGGUUGUUUUCUUCUUCUUCUUUAUUACAGUUGCAUGCUUCAGUUGAAAAAAGGCCCAGGGGAAGACCACGAAAAUGGCUUGUUGUUCAGGAAGAAGAACAUCGGGAAGACAGAGGCGACCCGAGUUGCAAUGUAUGCCCUGCCAAUGAAGGUUUGUGUGUCAGUUUUUUCUAAAACAAUGGGAAAACCAGCUCUGCUUUGAAACUGGGGUGGAAGGACUG
rnacentral:lncRNA from 11 species